rnacentral:rRNA from 1 species
GACGAACGCUGGCGGCGUGCUUAACACAUGCAAGUCGAACGGAAAGGCCCUGCUUUUGUGGGGUGCUCGAGUGGCGAACGGGUGAGUAACACGUGAGUAACCUGCCCUUGACUUUGGGAUAACUUCAGGAAACUGGGGCUAAUACCGGAUAGGAGCUCCUGCUGCAUGGUGGGGGUUGGAAAGUUUCGGCGGUUGGGGAUGGACUCGCGGCUUAUCAGCUCGUUGGUGGGGUAGUGGCUUACCAAGGCUUUGACGGGUAGCCGGCCUGAGAGGGUGACCGGCCACAGUGGGACUGAGAUACGGCCCAGACUCCUACGGGAGGCAGCAGUGGGGAAUAUUGCACAAUGGGCGGAAGCCUGAUGCAGCAACGCCGCGUGCGGGAUGACGGCCUUCGGGUUGUAAACCGCUUUCGCCUGUGACGAAGCGUGAGUGACGGUAAUGGGUAAAGAAGCACCGGCUAACUACGU